GCUCUUUAAUUCAGAUUGCCAAUGAUAAUGCAGAGUCUACUGCUAAAGAAAGGUAGGAUGCAGAGGCAGAAACAUUAGUGCUAAUCUGCUGCAGAAGGACUAGAUAAAUCAGCACAGCUCUCGUACAUCACUAAGAGAGAAGCUGAUUGCAACUUGACCAUGUGCCUAAGUGGUCACAUCAGCAACAAGAACGCAGCAUGGAUAAAAAAACUAAAAUGUACCCUUAGGGCUACUUGCUGUGCAGGACACAUAAUAACACAUCAAUAUUCCAAAAUUAGAUCGUCACAUUUCCUCAUGAAGCUUCUGGUGCAAGGAGGCAUUUGAGGUUUUGCAGUCUGAAGGUGCCUGUUCCAGUAGAUGACCCGUGCUGUCAUGCACACUAUCCCAAACCAGUUGGACAGUGGCAAACUUUAAAAAGUCAAUGCAUGUCUUAACUACUGUCCUGUGCCCCUCAGUUUGUGCAUUCUGACACUUGCUUGAUGUUGCUGAGUACUACUGGCUUAAGAUACCAUUUAAUCCAUGACUUGCACGCUGCAUUCUUGUUUGAACUAAUAGCUGUUAAACUAAAAAAGUUAUUUUAAGAAUGGGCUUGUCAAAGAGAGUGUAUCUUCUCUCUUCAAAGACCUCUGAGAUUUUUUUUGAUUAAAAUGUGACUGCAGCAUUAAAAUGGAUGCCCUAUGUCUUUUCAUAAAUGGAUGACUAAUGAAGUUGUGGACUGUCUAGGUUUUAAUUGGCAGAUUGAGUGCUUCAUGGGGAAUUGUAGGAGAGGUGAGGAGUUAGUUGAUUUUUAGAUAAAUUUGUUACUGCUUUUAUUUCUAGUGAUGGCUUGAAGUUGAUUAAAUCCCCGAAUAGAUCCACAGAUGCAUUUUUAAAUUCUCUUCUGCGAAAUGUGAAAGAUGGUAUGCUUAAAAACAUGUAGUAAAACCCCGGGCUUGAGGUGGGCGGCCCCACAUGAAAAACAGGAUGUUAGGCUUGUGGUUAUCUCAGCUGUGGCUAUGCUCAUGACCUGUACAGCUGCUGCACCAGCCUUUUCCUCUAUUUGUCUGCUUAUUUCUUCAUGAGCUCCAGUGAAUGACUGCUAAUAAAAUCUGAUCUCAAAAGGGUUUGGAGUCCAAAUGCCUGCCUGUUGUUAUAUUCUGAUGGAUCAUAAGUACAGCCAAAUCUAUAGAUGUGCUUAUAUUCUCUAUGGAAGAUUCUAGGACAGUGCAGGGAGGAAAAAGAGUGGAUAGACAUACUGUGAACUUACCCUAAUGCACUACUGGAACUCUUCAGUGCUGUAUCAGUCUACGGGAAAAGACCGUGGCAUCAGGGCAUUAGAACAGAGAAAGAAGCAUUGUGUGAGUUGAUGAAAUUUUAUUUUGAGUUUCAAAGUUGUGAUAGUGCUUAAUGGACUACCCCAUUUGGUGCUUAUGAGUUUGGUGUUGCUGUUUUUGUUUGUCUAAGUAAUGUAAUCUAAUGUUACAGUGUAUGACUAGGCUAUGAUUCUAAGGCCUCUGGAAAUACACCUGCAUGAGUAUGUCUGAUCCUUGGUCAUUUUGGGGCUCCUCCUAAGGUCUUUGACUGAUAUUCUUUUUCAGUAAUUGUCUGCCAUCCACUUGUUUAUAGAAACAGAAUGACUCAUAACUAAACAACAAAGACAAAAGUAUAUUUUCAAAUCAGGUGUUGGUAAAAGUGUGAUAUGUGGAUAACUUUCAGGACUUAGGUGCUCCUUGUCCUAUGAACAAGCCAAAGGGUAGCAACGAUGGCUCAUCAGGGAUUCUUUAACUUGCUUUGUUAUUUGGAAGACAAACAAUUGGAAGUGUCUGACCAAUCUGGGUAUUCAUCUUCGUACAGUCAGAGACAAUGAGGUGGGGUGUGCAAGUUCAGGGCAGACAGGAGAAUUAACUAUUGUUUUAGUUUUUCUUUUGGUGGUAAAAUUGACAUUAUUUUAAUGAGAAGAUUAUACAACUAGAUUGUGAAUCACCAUUGUGCUAGAUAAAUAAUUUUUUCUUGUGUUAAUUAAAUUGCUUCAAUAAGAUACUCUAAAUGCAGUAUGGAGGAGUAAUGUAGGCAGUAUGUACAUGUGUGUACAUCGUCUUUUGCACUGAAAUAUUGCUGAAAUUUUACAAGAUGAAU
ensembl:lncRNA